AUCUUGGAUAAUGGGUGAAACCCUGAUCCAGCCAUCUCGCGUGUAUGAUGAUGGACAUCGGGUUGUAAAAUACUUUUUGCAGAGAAGAAAAGGUACCCCAUAACACGGGAUACUGUUGAUGGUAUCUGGAGAUUAAUCUCCGGCUACCUACGUAGUACCAGCCGCUGUAAUACGUAGGGUGCAAGCGUUAAUCGGAAUUACUGGGCGUAAAGCGUGUGUAGGCGGUUCGGAAAGAAAGAUGUGAAAUCCCAGGGCUCAACCUUGGAACUGCAUUUUUAACUGCCGAGCUAGAGUAUGUCAGAGGGGGGUAGAAUUCCACGUGUAGCAGUGAAAUGCGUAGAUAUGUGGAGGAAUACCGAUGGCGAAGGCAGCCCCCUGGGAUAAUACUGACGCUCAGACACGAAAGCGUGGGGAGCAAACAGG
rnacentral:rRNA from 1 species